rnacentral:lncRNA from 1 species
CCAUUCUUGUCUUGGCUGGUGUCUGGAACAGCGGAACUUGAACUGCUUCAUUUUAUAUUUUUGGUUUUUCAUGUUAUAAUUCAAGACAAGUCUUAAUUUCGUGUAACUUUAUUGCUGCUUUGUUUACAGUUCGCCGUGUCACGUGCCAAGCCACUUUGCAACCAACAAAAAAUUUCAAUUUGUCAGAAAACAUGUCGGAAAAAAAUGACAGAAAACAAGUCCGAAGGAAAACCAAAUAAGGUUAGAUUAAAUGUUAAUGGUCUGGACAAUACGAUAACACAGUUUAUCUUGAAAGAUACUACGCCUCUUGGAAAGAUGAUGAAGACAUAUUGUGAAAUUAAGGUAUGUAUGAUCUUGGCCCAAAGGGAGGCAAUUCCCUCGUGGAAGAAAACUUUUUUUAAAACUCAAUGAAACAACUGUUCAUUACUUUGCAAGUCCUUUUUAAUUAAUGUCUGCUGAAUGCUUUAAGAAUCUUUGUGAAAAGUUUUAGCCAUCAGCAGUUUGUAAAUUUUAGAGGGGUUAAAUCAUGGUAAAGGCUGACACGCUCUUGGUAAUUCACUGAAAACCGCGGAAAGUCACAGAAUCUUGAAUUCUCUUAGAAAAGCCCUUUGAAGAAUUGUUUUCCGGCGAGAGUGUAGACAUCCUUGUGAUGGAAUUUUGAAACCCAAAGAAACUUGUUAUCCUGUGGUAUCAAUUAAAGCUCCUUAAAAAAUGAACCCACUUAAACUGAAACUUCCAUGAAAAUUUGUAGAAAUGCGGUUUCUGAAAAUACUUAACAUGGAACACUCAUUUCAGAAAAAAUUUCAUUAAUAGAUCUGAAAGAAAUGAUACUGCCUCCCAAUCAGUCUCAUCAUAUGAUUGCUUUAUGGUCUUUCUGGAAGAUGCAAUAUGCAUGAAUAAGUCAUCCUCAUUUUUGCCACUAUACAUGAACUACCAGUUGAGUCAACCUCUCAGAGGGGUAA